CCCGAGAUGUUGCUGAACUACAACUCCCAUGAUUCUCUGGCUAUCUACGUAAUUCAAAGAAUCAUGGGAGUUGUAGUUCAGCAAUAUCUGGGG
rnacentral:miRNA from 1 species